GUGAAUAGUUAAGAUGAGCCUAUAAUAACUAUAAUGCAGUUAAGCUGAAAAGAGUUACUAAUUAAAAGACUUUUAAGAUAUAGAUGAUCUAAAUAUAAAUGGUUUGGAUCUUGAUAAACCACUGUAAUAACAGUUAUUUGUGUCCAUACAUAGUCACUUUGUAUAAUAAGAUUUUAUGGCUUGUGAUUGCAAUGGCUUCUGUUGUCAGCUUCUGACAUCAUUUUGGGGAGCAUUUUGUGAGUGUAUGCCAAAAGUAUCUCAGUUUAUCAGCCUUCUGUCCUUUAAUGAUUCUAAGUGCAAAUAAAUGCAGUAACUUAUUAUGAAACAAAAA
rnacentral:lncRNA from 1 species